rnacentral:rRNA from 1 species
GAUGAACGCUGGCGGCGUGCCUAAUACAUGCAAGUCGAGCGACCAGACGAGGAGCUUGCUCCUUUGCCGUUAGCGGCGGACGGGUGAGUAACAAGUGGGUAACCAACUUAUAUGUCUUGGAUGACUUCGGGAAACCGGAGCUAAUACCGCAUAAUAUUUCGUACCGCAUGGUUCGAUAGUGAAUGAUAGCUUUGCUAUUACUUUUAGCUGGACUUGCGGCGGAUUAGCUAGUUGGUGAGGUAACGGCUAACCAAGGCAACGUUCCGUAGCCGAGCUGAGAGGAUGAUCAGCCACACUGGAACUGAGACACGGUCCAGACUCCUACGGGAGGCAGCAGUGGGGAAUCUUCCACAAUGGGCGAAAGCCUGACGGAGCAACGCCGCGUGGGUGAUGAAGGUCUUCGGAUCGUAAAACUCUGUUAUUAGGGAAGAACAAACGUGGAAGUAACUGUGCACGUCUUGACGGUACCUAAACAGAAAGCCACGGCUAACUACGUG